UACGUAGGUGGCGAGCGUUGUCCGGGUUUACUGGGCGUAAAGGGCGUGCAGGCGGUUUGUUAAGUGCAGGGUGAAAGCUCCCGGCUCAACUGGGAGAGGUCCUUGCAUACUGGCGAACUCGAGGGAGGCAGAGGAAAGUGGAAUUCCCGGUGUAGUGGUGAUAUGCGUAGAUAUCGGGAGGAACACCUGUGGCGAAGGCGGCUUUCUGGGCCUUACCUGACGCUGAGACGCGAAAGCGUGGGGAGCGAACCGG
rnacentral:rRNA from 1 species